UACCGGCGGCUCGAGUGGUGGCCGCUUUUACUGGGCUUAAAGGGUCCGUAGCUGGAUUUGCAAGUCCCUUGAGAAAUCUAUUUGCUUAACAGAUAGGCGUUCAGGGGAAACUGUGAUUCUAGGGACCGGGAGAGGUAAGAGGUACUGCCGGGGUAGGAGUGAAAUCCUGUAAUCCCGGUGGGACGACCUAUAGCGAAGGCAUCUUACCAGAACGGCUCCGACAGUGAGGGACGAAAGCUGGGGGAGCAAA
rnacentral:rRNA from 1 species